rnacentral:lncRNA from 1 species
GGCAGUUGAGAUUCAGACCUUGACAGUUGUAACCGAUAGACUGGGCUGGGGCAACGCUGAUGAAAGGCAAAUUCCUGAGAGAAAAAUCACCCAGAUUUUUCAGUGCCUUCUCUAGCUUUCUAGAAGUUGUUAUGAGUGGACCUGACUACCUAGAGAGAGUAAUACAGAAGCUCCGUGCCGAUCACAGCUACCUCAUUACCAUGUUCCUCCAAGAUGGCCGCCCCUGAGGAGAAUCAUCAACUGGGCUUUACGGAAGAGAGAAAUCCAAACGACCAUCAGCAACAAAUGAAAGACUGAAGUUGAAAGGAAAUCCAUAAUUUUUGAAUGCUGGCCGAGGUCUGUGACCUCUGACUGAAUGGUUUCCAAGCUCCGAAUUCCUAGGUGAUGUUUUCAUUUGUUCACACUUGCUGAAGAAGGGAAAGGCUCUCUGAUUUACGUGUAAGCAAAACAAUCUAAACAGUAGGAUAAAAUCAUGUUGGAAUGGAGUUCUGUGUGGAUGCUCCUUUGAACCAAAUCAGUUCCACAACUGACCCUGUCAGGGACAUAUAAAUUUAGCAUUUUGGUGUGGAUACAGAAGACGAGAUUAACACAGAUCAAGUAACAUGGAAAUAAAAAAGGAGACAAUGCUGGAUGAUACAGGGGCAGCCAACAAGAGGAGAAAACCCAAGCAUUGGCAAAUGCCUCAUUAUCCAAAGAACACUGUAAGUCUGUCUUGGCCAUGAUGCUCUUUUCACAUCAUAAUAAUGAACAAUUAUAUAGCACUUAUGAUGUGCCAGGCAGUUCCAAAUCUUUGCAUAUAAUGAGUCAUACAUGAAUGCAUAGAAAAUAGAUGCACAGAUAGAUAAGUGAACUUAAGUUAAUUUGCCAAGGAUUAUUUCCAUUUUUUUUUUUUUUGUAGUAAACUCUACUUUAGAAAUGGCUUAAAGACCCCAUUCAGGUGUCAUUGAAGAAAAACCUCAGUCCUCAAGAACAAAUGGGCAUUUGGUCACCAAGCUAGUACCAGAUGAAAUUAGCCAGGUUAGCAUCCUUUAGGUAGAAAUUGUCAGCUUUCACUUGGUUCAAAUCCAUCGACUACUGAAACUGCUCAGAAAUCACUAAAUUAUUGCUAUAUCAGAAAGUACAUUAAUAUCUUGCAAUGUCAUAGGCUCACCAACAUGAAUAAUAAUGAUCACAAGUCUGUGCCAAUAAAAUAAAUGGUCAUUUAAUACUUUUA